GGCGAAAAAUAAAUCAUUUUCUGUCCUCUGUCGUAAGUCAAUUUGGCAAAAUGUCAUCAAGCUGAAUUUUCAACACUUUCACAGUAUUGUGGUUGCUGGAAAUCAAGCGGAAAAAGAAGAAUGCGAAAUUCCGUGCCGAUAGGAUUCUCAAAGGGACAUAUUUGCUUCUGAGUGCGUUGGCUUUUUUUUCUGAAAGUCCUGUCCUUAUAAUCUAGGCGACUCUAACAAGAAACCAUCAUUUCCCCUCAAAUUCAUCCAGAGAUUUCUCCUGAUAUUCCCGUUUGAAGAUUUGGCCGAAGAUCUGCAACAAACCGAACAUCUCAAUCACCAUACUAGUAACAUGAGUGUACUAGGAAAGAAAGGGUUUACCUUCCUGUGUUGCGUUGGUCGCCGGCGUUGCAUGCGCAUAUUAUUGAUCCCGAAAACCCCGUAGCAUUUCAAAAACUGUUCAUCACAGAAAGACGCGGUAUUUUAAUAAUCCAUUGUAAACAACGAAGGAUCCAUUGUUGAAUCUCCAAGUUAUGAAUGUUGCUUGACCAAAAGUUGAUUCUUAAAAAGAUGAUUUUCUAUAAUAAUUUUCAAAUGCAAA